rnacentral:lncRNA from 10 species
GUUCUCUAAAAUGUUUUCAAAUAAUUAAUAUCCACCAUUAAACUGGAAGGGACCCUAGGAAUAGUUUAGAUUUGCUAAGUGUCUAUGCCAUAUGAUUCUGCUGUUUGCGUUUGAUUUAGAAUGCUGAGCUGACUCAAAGUCAAACUUGGCAUAAAACACUUCAAUCACACGUAGCUUUCUGGAGCAACAGACCAUGGGCUGAGGAUUGAGUUUCCGGGAGCCACAGCAAGGCUCUCCAAUGCCAUCUUUCUGUCUCACUGCUGAAAGUCAAGAAUCACAGUGCUGAUCUUCAGAAACUGUGGGUUCAGAAACUCACCUGGUCACUAGAAUUACUCUCCCCACUUUACCUCUGCUACCCCGGAGAUCCCCGAGACCAGUCCCUUUUGGGGAGCCCUUGAUGGCAUCUUCACUAGUAGCCCUUUGGCUCACAUGGGAAUACCCCCAGGGACUCCUCGCAAGAGGGCUAUGAGGGAGGCUUCAUUAUUCUAGUGUUGAAGCCCAGAGUCUCAACCUAAUCAGCGCUUUCCUUCAAGUUCGAGCCUCCAGGAGGAGCCAAGGAGUUUCAACAGCGUUUCAAAGUUCGCAGUUUGUAUUCUGCUGCACCAGAGACAUCAUUGAAUCUUACAGCUGAUGCUACCUUCUUUCCCACACCUGGAUUCACCCAAAGUCCUGGAGAACAGCACAUGGUGGAGAGAAACCCCUAGCCAAUUUUCCCUUCUGAAAGAUAAGAGCAAGACACCUGGGUGAACUGGUGGCUGAGGGACCUCCGCUCCUGGAUACAUGUCCGUAAUCAUUCAUGGAGUGAGAAAAUCGGCCUGUAUGUUACCACUAAAGAAGCUAGUCUGUAAGAAUGUAUUGAUUUAAGUAUAUAUAAAAAUACAUAGAGUAAAUUAUAACUCCCCUAGGCACAAUUUCAUUAUAUACCUUAAAAAAUACAUAGAUGCCACUCACUUCACUGCUAACAAAAAUGACAAUAUCAUUUAUCAUUCCAACCAUGGUACUUUUUUUUUUUUUUUUUUGAGUCAGAGUCUUGCUCUGUUGCCCAGGCUGGAGUGCAGUGGUGCAAUCUUGGCUAACUGCAAUCUCCGCCUCCCGGGUUCAAGCGAUUCUCCUGCCUCAGCCUCCCGAGUAGCUGGGACUACAGGCGUGUGCCACCACGCCCAGAUAAUAAUUUUUUGAAUUUUUAGUAGAGAUGAGGUUUCGCCGUGUUAGCCAGGAUGGUCUCAAUCUCCUGACCUCGUGAUCCGCCUGCCUCGGCCUCCCAAAGUGCUGGGAUUACAGGCAUGAGCCACCACACCCGGCCCCAUGGUAUUUUGACUACAAAAUGAGACACAAUACAUGAAAAAGUGGUCUACUGUGGAUCACUACUCUCAAUGAAAAGAAACAAACUAUUGAUACAUUUGACAAACCAAGACUUUCUCCCCAAAACUGGGCUGUGUGGUCCCCUAACUCUACCUGAUAGGGAAAAGAAAAGUGAGUUGGGAAUGAGGAAAGUAUUUUUUUGGAGGGAGGUUUGUUUUAGGUUGGUUUUUGUUGUUGUUAUGAUUUGACUGUGAUUCCUCCAUAGAGUAAAACACAGUCAGUUCUUGUUGUUUGUGGUUAUUAUGUUCUUUAAAGAACAUAAUUGCUGUGAGCACUGAAUUAGCAAAUACUGAACUGUUGCUCCCACGGGAAAUACAGAGGACGUUCCUUCGAGCCUGUGGUCACACAUUGUCAUAAAACAAUCGAUACACGACCUUGUUUUAUGUGUGUUUCUGUUAAAGGACACCUUGUUUAACAUACAGCAUUGAUUUAUUAACAUUGAAUUCAUGACCAACAGUACUAUAACUAACGCUUGAACAAGGCUUAUCAACACAUCUCUUUUCUUCAUACGGUACAUCAAAGACUUCUUGCACUUAGGAAUACUAGAUGGCACUAUAUCACUGUAGUGAAAUCAGCAGCAAAAAGCACAACAUGAGAAAAAUGUGGCACUAAAUAGAACACACACCAAAAGGACAGUUGUGUACAAUAUGAGAUAUAAAACAGGAGCAAGGCAGAAUGUCGCCUUGUUGAACCUCAUCUGGGAACAUGAACUUUGGGUGACAAUUUUUUCGCUGCUCUCCACAUGUCUGUGAAGGGACAUGAAAUAGCUGUGGCUAUUGAUUUGAGAGUUACAGGUAAUUUUAGGGAGUAGGCAGGUCUGUAAAUAUGAAAUCCAUGAGUAAUGAUGACUGACUGUAGAUUCUUGUCCCUAACUCUUAGGUGUACCUUUAUUUAAAGUUAGGCUCACCAAGUAGAUUUCAAGAGGUCUCUAAGAGUGGAUCUAAAAUGGAGAACAAAUGACCUCAGGAGAUGUAGAUAAAAUAUGUCUCUUCAAACUGGUUUUGCACCAGUAAUGAGACAGUGACGCAAGUCCUCUGUAUCCUCGCUGUGCUUGUUUUUGUCCCUAUUUUCAUCAUUCUGCUAGACGUGCAGUAAUACUUUUCUGUGGUUUUAAUUUGCAUUUCUCUAAUAGUACAGUUUGGCAGUUUUUUAAACAGUUAAAUAUUCAACUGCAUUUAUAUAUGACCCAGCAAUUGUACUCUUUGGCAUUUAUUCCAGGGAAAUGAGAACAAACUUGAACAUUGUGGCACAUCUAUUUAUAAUAACCAAGAACUGGAAAUAAUCAGAUAUCUCUCCAUGGAAAAAUGGUUAUUAAACAAAACAUAGUACAACUUACUAUGGAUCACUACUCCCAAUAAAAAGGAACAAACUGUUGAUGCAUUCAGCAACCUUAAUGAAUCACCAAAGAACUAUCCUAAGUGAAAAUAAAGCCAGUUUCCCAAGAUUAUAUAUGGUAGGAUUCCCUUUAUAUAACAUCCUUGAAAUGAGAAAAUGAUAGAAAUGGAGAAUAGACUAGUGGUUGCCAGGGGGUUAAGGUGGGAAUCCAUGCAGGAAGGAAGUGGCUAUAACGAUAAAAGAGAAACAUGAGGAAUCCUUGCUGUGAUGAAAAUGCUCUGAAUCUUGACUGUAUCUAUGUCAGUAUCUUGGUUAUAAUAUUGUCUUAUGCUUUUGCAAGAUGUUACCAUUGGGGAAUACUAGGCAUAAGCACAUGAGAUCCCUCUCUCGUAGUUCUUACAACUCCGUGUGAAUCUAUGAUUACCUCAGUAUAAAAAGCUUAUUUAUAAAUAAAUGAAGGAAAAAUAAAGACUUUCUCAAACCAGCCAAACUACACACCACACACACACACACACACACACACACACACACACACACACACAGAGUUUUAUUCUUUCCAAGUUUGAACUGAUUCUUAUUCCUUCUUCAGUCAUUCAACAAGCUGUUACCCUUUAAAGAGGCUAAGGAGAGAUUAAUUAGAUAUUAGUUCGUAAGAUACAUUUUUCAAAUUUCUUAAAAUAUAUGUACAUGUACAAUUUAGUGAAAGCAAAAAAAACUUUGAUAGUAAUAAUAUUGAAGAUCCAAAUCUGUAUUAAGUCAAAUAUUUAGUGAUAUAAUUUUCAUUUCAAAAUGGUUUUUACAUAAAGUAAAACUGUGUACAAUAAAGUAAAUAAUUUUAAUGCAAUUUAUUCUUUUUUUGGAUGAGGAAACUGAGGCUCCCUUCUUAUGUGGAAAAAUGGUUGGCAUUGCCAUUAGUGCAGAGUUGAUUGGGGCUAAAUUGAUGCACUCUUUGGACCAUAAAGUCAAGAGCAGAUAUGUAAAACCACGAUGUGUCAUUAUGGAUGAUCCAGUUUCUUUUUAAAUCAGAAUCUCUGGGGCAUGAACAAAGUCUUUAUAUAAGGUACUAUUCUGUCUUAUGGGCUCUCUCUAUAUGAUUUUUCUAUAUAUGCAGAUAUAUAAGGAAAGGGCUGACAAUAAUCAUGUAGGAUACAUAAAAUAUUAUUUUCUUUCUGAAAGGAAAGGGAAUGGGCCUCCUCUGGUUAAAAUUUAUAUUAGAUUUCGUAGACUGCUAGGGCUGCCAUCACAAAGUACCACAGACAGGGACACUUAAAGAAAAGAAAUAUAUUGUCUCACGGUUCUGGAGGCUACAAGUCAAAGAUCAAGGAGUCAGUGGGAUUGGUUGCUUCUGAGGCUGUGAGGGGCAAUCUGUUUCAUGCCUCUCUCCUAACUCUGGUUAUUUGCCGGCCAUUUUUGGUGUCCCUUGGCUUAUAGAAUCAUUGCUCCAAUCCCUGACUUACCUUCACGUGUUGUUCUUCCUGUGUGAGUCUGUCUUUGUGUUCAAAUUGCUUCCUUUAAUAAGGACACCAGUCAUACUGGAUUAGGGUCCCACCCUCAUCCGUGAAGUAUGACCUCAUACUAACUAAUUACAUCUUCAAUGACCCUAUUUCCAAAUAUGACCACAGACUGAGGCACUGCAGGUUAAGGCUUCAACAUAAGAAUUUUGGGGGACACAAUUCAACUCAUAACAGAUUUUCUCUCUCAUUCUUACCCCAUGGAUAGGAUAUAACAGACAAAGCCCUCUUUAGGUUAUCAAAUAAAUUGUGCCCAAGAUGCAAUGGGCGAAAAGUGUCCUAAGCAACAUAAAGAUAAGCAGCCAUUGUAAUAGAUAUAUUUUUGGCCUUAUUUUAUCUAAAUCAAAAGAUUAAAAGUAAAACUCUGAAUGCACUAUAUUUGCAAAAUGUUUACAAUUAGCCCCAUAAUUUUCUUUUGCAUUAAUAUUAGAAGAAAACUAAACAUUUUCUAAAACUUAUUACUUUCUGAAUGUUUUGAACGUGCUGAUGUAAAUUUUUCAACUCUAAGUGUAGGUGAC